rnacentral:rRNA from 1 species
AAUCAACGCUGGCGGCGUGCCUCAGACAUGCAAGUCGAACGAUUAAACUUUCCUUCGGGGAAGAUAUAGAGUGGCGCACGGGUGAGUAACACGUAAGUAAUCUACCCUUGGGUGGGGAAUAACAUCGGGAAACCGAUGCUAAUACCGCAUAAUGCAGCGGCUUCUUAUGAAAGACAGUUGUUAAAGCAUUUAUGUGCCUGAGGAGGAGCUUGCGGCAGAUUAGCAGUUGGUAAGGUAAUGGCUUACCAAGGCGACGAUCUGUAGCCGACCUGAGAGGGUGGUCGGUCACACUGACACUGAAUAACGGGUCAGGACUCCUACGGGAGGCAGGCAGUCGGGAAUUUUGGGCAAUGGGCGCAAGCCUGACCCAGCAACGCCGCGUGAAGGAUGAAGUAUUUCGGUAUGUAAACUUACGU